GGACGUGAAGGGACAGCAACAUCGAAGAUUUUAAAUGUGGACACACAGAUGCAAUUAGAUCACUUCAUAGAUUUCACUGGUGCUAAGCAUCAGCAGUUCCCGUUGAUGGAGUUCCAGAAAAAGACAAAGAUGCCAAACAACUUGAGAGCAGCAGUGCCUGGCUGUGAGGCAGAAGCACCACCCCAGUUAAGCAGCAGAAAUGGAAGACUUCUGGCAGUUUAUUACCAGUCACAGCUCUGCAGAACUCCAACUAAUACUUUGAAGAACAGCAGCAAUCCUGGAACCAGAGUUUCAAAAUAAAUGUGCAUGAAAAUCUGAAGGUCAUCUGCUUCCCCCCAUUGCUUGGC